AUGUUACCCCUAAAUUCUGUUUUUCUUUGCAGGAGAAAAGAAAAUAGGAGAAGAAACAACGGCAACUUGAAUUUUAAACAGAAAAAAGGAAAAUUGGUAAGAAGCAUAAGCGGAAUCGUUACCAGAUUUGUGGACAAAAAGAUCAUUUCUGAAGCAACAACCAUUCCGUUAACACCACCGCGCCGCUGCCAGUUUCAAAAACUCUGCCAUCAGUUUGUCAAUCUUGUACCGCGAAUUCUAGAUCAAGAAGAAUGGUUAAGAGACGAAGAGGAAGUCUGCUAUUGGCUCACGAUGAGGUUUGAGAAGUCAAAGUAG